CGCCUCACAACAGCUCCCGCCCGCCUCCUCCCCUCCUUCCUCCGCGGGUCCGGCCCUCGGCGCCUCCCCACCCUCGCUCCCCACCCGGCCGGCUCAGCUGUCCCUGCGCAGAGCUACUGACGCUCAAGCGUCACUCCUGGCACCACAUGGAACCCUCAGCAAACCCCAUGAAGUCCUAUACCAUGAAGGCCUCAUACAGACCAGGAGCCUGAGGCGCCGCCUGCUAUCCCGCACGCUGCCAUCUGAGCCCAGGUGGCCUCCAGUGUAGUUACCUCAGCCCACAGCAAGGCACAGUGAACCAGCCUGGCCCCAGGCCACUGGGCAGGCCACCCCGGUCCAUGCUGGGAAGCCCGCGGACAACAAGAGGGCCGGGCCCACCCCAGCCUCCUGCUCUCCAGCCCCACACCUCAAAAACGUGCGGCCGAGGGAAAUGCCUGCAGUGGCCCACUCUGGGCGGCCAGGGGUUGGGCGGGCCCAGGCAGCCCUGAGGGUCAGGGAUACACAGGCAUGCCAGAGAGAGCCCAACUCCCAGCUGAGCCCAGGACAGCAUCUGGCCAGCAGUGGGCAGGGGCCGACAGGCCGGACGUUUCAGCCCACUCCCUGCCACGUGCUGGGGAAGCCUCAGAGGAGCCUGACUCAAUGGCCUGGGUGAGAACCAGCUCCUGGCGGGAGGAGUGCCCCAGGCUGGCAGCGGGCAGUUCUUCUACCACUCCACGGAGGUCCGGACAGGCCUGUGCUUCCGGGACACACAUCACACACACCCCUGGGGCAGCUCCGAGAGGGGGCUGUGCCUAUCCCUGCAUCCCAGGUCUGACGGCACAGAACGGUGGACAACGGGAAGAGACAGGUCUGCCAGAGGCGGCCCCGGCCCCCUCCUCUGCCUCCCACAGCCCCCAGCUCUGCCUGCCCUACCUUGGCCCAGCUGAAUCAGCUCCUCCAUGCUGUACCUGUCCAUGGCUGCCACACAGGCCAGGCUGCUCCGAGAGCCGGCAGGGAGGAAGGCGAGGCAGGAAGGAGGGAAGGGGUGGGAGGCAGAGGGAGGGCCCACUCAUGCCCUGGUAGCAGCGGCUCCUCCUCGCAGCCACCCCUUAGUCAGUAAGCAGAGCUGAAGCCCAGCCGACUGACGGGUCAGACCAGCCCAGCAGACCUGCCUGGGGGUGCAGGGGACUGGCCUGCCUGCAAUCCCAGAGAGCCCUCCGGCCCCAGCCCAUGGGUCUUCCCUACUGUUCCUGCCCCGCCCGGCAGACCCCCCGCCCAGCAGACCCCACCCUGUAGCCUCCCCUUCCCGCUGCAGGCCCCACCAGCCCAGCCCUGCCCUCCCACCCUCCCACCCACAUUCCAGGCAUCCAUGUGCCCAGCGGUAUUUCAUGAGCCAGGCGGGAGCAGAGCCCCAAACUGCCCACCACACCCCACUCCUUGAGACUCACAUUCCUCAGCCCCGAAGGUGGUCUCUUCCUCCACCUGAGUCCUCCCCAACCAGCACAGCCCCAGGCAUCUGUCCAGGGGCAAUGCUGACACCUGCCUCCCCUCUCCAUACCUCUCCACCCAGGUGCUUGCUGACCAGUGAAGUGCAAAUCAAAUCCCAUCGUAACUACCCCUUAGAAGCCUGCUGGUGAUCGACAGAAAUCCCGCAAACGGGUGACUCGGCCAAGCCAGUGAUCCCUGUGGAAAGCUGGCCGGGCCAUAGUCCCUCCACCUAGGGCACCCUGUGGCUGGGAAGAAGGGCAAGGCAGCCAGGCCACCUCCAGGCUCCCUCCUUGACGCAGGGCCACAGAGGGUCAAGGGGGGAGGUCGAGGCACAGGCGUGUCCUCCGUGUAGAGGGGAAGUCAUGGCGGCUACCCGACCCCUGCCCUUUGCUGUGGGAAGCAGCUCUAGGUGCUGUGGGUGUACAGCGCUCACUGUGGUGGCGGCUACCUGGCCCCUGCCCGUUGCUGGUGCGUGGACAGCGCUCACCGUGGUGGCGGCUACCUGGUCCCUGCCCGUUGCUGUGCGUGUACAGCGCUCAUCGUGGUGGCGGCUACCUGGCCCCUGCCCGUUGCUGGUGCAUGGACAGUGCUCAGCUGGCGUCUCCUCCACACAAUCCUCGGUUCCUUCAGAAUUCUGAGCCAGGCAAAGCAUCGCUAUUUGCAAUGUAAAUUAGGGCUGGGCGGUAGCUAUAAUCCCAGCACUUUGGGAGGCUGAGGCAGGCGGAUCACCUGAGGUCAGGAGUUCGAGACCAGCCUGGCUAACAUGGCGAAACCCCGUCUCUACUAAAAAAAAAACAAAAAUUAGCCAGGCGUGGUGGCUCAUGCCUGUAAUCCCAGCUACUCAGGAGGCUGAGACAGGAGAAUCGCUUCAGCCCGGGAGGCGGAGGUUGCAGUGAGCCAAGACUGUGCUAUUGCACUCCAGCCUGGGCAACAGAGCGGGACUCCAUCUCAAAACAAUAAAUAAAAUAAAAAUGAAACGUAAA